rnacentral:rRNA from 1 species
UACGUAGGGUGCAAGCGUUAAUCGGAAUUACUGGGCGUAAAGCGUGCACAGGCGGUUGUAUAAGACAAAUGUGAAAUCCCCGGACUCAACCUAAGAACUGCAUUUAUGACUACACAGCUGGAGUGCGGCAGAAAAAAAUGGAAUUCCACGUGUAGCAGUGAAAUGCGUAGAGAUGUGGAGGAAUACCGAUGGCGAAGGCAGCCCCCUGGGCCAAUACUGACGCUCAUGCACGAAAGCGUGGGGAGCAAACAGG